UUACGGUCAAAUCACGCUGAAAACACCGGUUCUCGUUCGAUCACCGAAGUUAAGCAUCGUAGAGCCAGGUCAGUACUUAGAUAGGGGACCGCUUGGGAACACCUGGUACUGUAAUC
rnacentral:rRNA from 1 species